GUGAUUUGGGCAUUUAUUUCAUCUGUGAGAAACGGGCUAGGCCAAAGAUCAAUGAGGUGGGCUAGUAUAAUUGUCUGAUCCGGUUUGGAUAGAUCAUAAAUUCUUAGCUGGAAACCAACGCUACUCAUUUUAGUUAAUCCUCAUGCACAAAGUAGUUCCCGUUCCGAAGGGGGAGUGGGUGGCCCAAGGAAAUAGGUAAAGGAGG
rnacentral:lncRNA from 1 species